rnacentral:lncRNA from 1 species
CUUGGGAUCUGUCUCCUCUUUCGCCUCCUGCACCUUGAGAGCCCUGGGCUACUCUGUCACAGCCCCUGUUGCCCUGCGAUCUGUAGGUCCUUGGGGACGCAUAGUUAAGGUGCCAGGACAUCCUGGAAGCUGGGAAAUGAUUUCUUCCAGACCAUGGCUGGAGAAGGAAAGAAGGUGUGUUUUGCCUGAUUCAGGGACUAUAGAGAGAACCAAGUUCUGCAGGCCUGUCAUCUAAGUCUCAGGGCGGGGAGACCUUCCUUCCCCACGGGUUUGAGGCUAUGGCUAAGUGGUGAGCCUUGGUGAGACGCAGAAAGGAUCCAUCCCAGGCACUUGGCUAGAGCUUUUGCAUAUGCAGAAGAAGAAUUGGAUGAAAUUCAGCCUUCAUUAUGAUGAAAACUCUCAACAAGUUAGGAAUAGAAGGUGGUCUAUCUGGAAUAUUUUGGCAUGUGUGAUUAAAAGUAUUGCAUAUUCUACUGUUGAGUGGAGAGACAUAAAUAUGACUGUUAGGUCUAAUUGUUCUAUUGUGUUGUUGAAAUCCUCUGUUUACUUAUUCAUCUUAUGUUUGUUUUUUAAUUUACAUUACUAAAAGUCUGAUAAAAAAGUCAUCUACUGUUA